rnacentral:rRNA from 2 species
UACGAAGGGGGCUAGCGUUGUUCGGAAUUACUGGGCGUAAAGCGCACGUAGGCGGAUAUUUAAGUCAGGGGUGAAAUCCCGGGGCUCAACCCCGGAACUGCCUUUGAUACUGGGUAUCUGGAGUAUGGAAGAGGUGAGUGGAAUUCCGAGUGUAGAGGUGAAAUUCGUAGAUAUUCGGAGGAACACCAGUGGCGAAGGCGGCUCACUGGUCCAUUACUGACGCUGAGGUGCGAAAGCGUGGGGAGCAAACAGG